UGCAGACAUUCACUGACCCCAUGACAGAAGUGUACCUGCUGUUCUUCCAAGCCACCGUACCAACUUUCACUUCUUUCAACUUGCUGCUUCAGAGAGAGCAGUCAUCAAUAUUUUUGUUACAUGAUGAGAUGGUGAAAUUCGUACGCAAGCUAUGUUCCAAGUUUAUGGUUCCAGCAGCUCUGCAGUGCCAUGAGGAGCCUUGUGAAAUUGCCUUUAAAGAAAAGGCAAACCAUUUACCAGCAGGUGGAUUCAUUCCAUGAAGCUGUGUUGUGUUUCCUG